UUUGGCUUGACAAUACCUGCUUGUAUCAUACCUUAUAUUAUUUUCAAUAACACAAGUGCUCAUUGUUGUGGUCGAUGUCAUCAGCUGAUGAAAAUUAAAUUUCUGUGUAUAUAUUUAAAAUAUUCAUAAUAAAAAUUGGAAAUGUACAGUCAGGACCAGGGGCUGGAUAUUCUAGCUGCAUUGUCGAUGUUGAAUCAUCUCAGCGACAUUGAUUUGGGAUAAAUAUUGAACAAUGAUGGAAGAUUCGAGAAAUUUGUCAAUGACAUAAAACAGAUAUGCAACUUACUGACUUUUCGUGAGGUUUCCUAGUUUAAAGAAUUGGAAUCUGAAAAGGAAGUUCUGCUCGCUGGAAAUCGUUCUCUGGCCGAAGUCAAUCUAGCAAAGCAACCCCAACUCGUGGAGAAUAAAAAAGCAUUACAUCAACUGUCUGAGAAAGGCUGUGAGCUGCUGCGGAAAUUAAAGAAGAAUCAAAAUAGCUGAGAAAUUCUUAUCGGGAGAUACAGAAGUCGAUGAAUUCCUGGAUCAAUUCUUGAGCGGAAAAAAGAUAAUGCAUUUACGAAAGGUGAAGGUAGACAAAAUGCGAGAGCUGAAGAGGAAACCGAAAACGUCAACAGGGGAUUAUCCAACAGUGAACACCUUUCGCCGCCCAAGUUUUCUUAAAGCUAUUUCCAUAAUGUGCCUUCGUCAUGGUCAUGGACUGCGACUCAGAUACGUGCAUUUUUUGGAGGAACUAAUUAUUUGGUUUCAGAGUGUUUGAGGAUUAAAUAAUUCCCACGAUAGCGCUCAUCUCAGACAGCAAGACAAAAGAUUACAUCGUAGGCUUCACGGACCUCGGAAAUUACGACGAU